rnacentral:rRNA from 1 species
AUUGAACGCUGGCGGCAGGCUUAACACAUGCAAGUCGAGCGGGGUGAUGGUGCUUGCACUAUCACUUAGCGGCGGACGGGUGAGUAAUGCUUAGGAAUCUGCCUAUUAGUGGGGGACAACAUCUCGAAAGGGAUGCUAAUACCGCAUACGUCCUACGGGAGAAAGCAGGGGAUCACUUGUGACCUUGCGCUAAUAGAUGAGCCUAAGUCGGAUUAGCUAGUUGGUGGGGUAAAGGCCUACCAAGGCGACGAUCUGUAGCGGGUCUGAGAGGAUGAUCCGCCACACUGGGACUGAGAAGCGGCCCAGGCUCCUACGGGAGGCAGCAGUGGGGAAUAUUGGACAAUGGGGGGAACCCUGAUCCAGCCAUGCCGCGUGUGUGAAGAAGGCCUUAUGGUUGUAAAGCACUUUAAGCGAGGAGGAGGCUCUUUUGGUUAAUACCCAAGAUGAGUGGACGUUACUCGCAGAAUAAGCACCGGCUAACUCUGUGCCAGCCGCCGCGGUAA